UAUAGGAUUUAUUCACUAUGCAGCGGUGAGACAUCGUUUGAUAGGUCGCGCUGAACAGGUAAAUGUGUGUCACUGCGAUGGACUGAGAUGAAACGGCUUCAAAGAAUUGUUCUGUCCCCAAAAUGGACUAUACUUAAAGAAAGUAAGGAAUAAGAAGAUUCGCAGCCAUUGAUGGAUACCUAAUCUGAGUGAUAUCUCCAGUACAGUAAUUUGUGAAUUGUUUAACCAACGCCAUGCCGCUGAGGGUGCCAGUGAAGUGGCCUCUGUCUUAUGGCUUUCAGAUAUAUGGGCGUGGUCCAUGUUAUGUUAUCUAUGUGGAGAAGGGCAGUGUUGCUCAUCGGUCAGGGCUUAUGCCGGAGACCAGCUUCUGCAGCUGGAGGGACGAGAUGUGACGGCUCUGUCGGCAGAAUCAUUGAGAAUACUCGCCAAACAAAGCCGUGCCCAGCCUCCAGGAGUCGAAGUAGUGUCAUGUCUGUGUCAAGUGGAUAUACCCGCUCGGAAUGCAACAGGGUACGGAUUUACUCUAGUGGAAGGGCGCCCUCUGGUUGUGGGAGCUGUCGACUUCGGAAGUCCUGCCUACAGAGCCGGACUAAGGAUAGGUGAUGUGAUUCUGGAGGUGAACAACCAGCCCGCC